rnacentral:rRNA from 1 species
CCUACGGGUGACAGCAGUGGGGAAUAUUGCGCAAUGGGCGAAAGCCUGACGCAGCGACGCCGCGUGAGGGAUGAAGGUCUUCGGAUCGUAAACCUCUGUCAGCAGGGAAGAACGGUCACUGUGCUAAUCAGCAGUGAAUUGACGGUACCUGCAAAGGAAGCACCGGCUAACUCCGUGCCAGCAGCCGCGGUAAUACGGAGGGUGCGAGCGUUAAUCGGAAUUACUGGGCGUAAAGCGCUCGUAGGCGGUAUGUCAAGUCAAGGGUGAAAUCCCCGCGCUCAACGUGGGAACUGCCUUGGAAACUGGCAAACUGGAGUGUGUGAGAGGAUAGUGGAAUUCCAGGUGUAGGAGUGAAAGCCGUAGAUAUCUGGAGGAACAUCAGUGGCGAAGGCGACUAUCUGGCACAUAACUGACGCUGAGGAGCGAAAGCGUGGGUAGCAAACAGGAUUAGAUACCCUAGUAGUC